rnacentral:rRNA from 1 species
UACGGAGGGGGCUAGCGUUGUUCGGAAUUACUGGGCGUAAGCGCACGUAGGCGGACCAGCAAGUUAGGGGUGAAAUCCCGGGGCUCAACCCCGGAACUGCCUUUAAAACUGUUGGUCUGGAGGUCGAGAGAGGUGAGUGGAAUUCCGAGUGUAGAGGUGAAAUUCGUAGAUAUCCGGAGGAACACCAGUGGCGAAAGCGGCCACCUGGACUGCACCUGACGCUGACACGCGAAAGCUAGGGGAGCGAACGGG